rnacentral:rRNA from 1 species
CGCCGCGUGAGUGAUGAAGGUUUUCGGAUCGUAAAGCUCUGUUGUUAGGGAAGAACAAGUACCGUUCGAAUAGGGCGGUACCUUGACGGUACCUAACCAGAAAGCCACGGCUAACUACGUGCCAGCAGCCGCGGUAAUACGUAGGUGGCAAGCGUUGUCCGGAAUUAUUGGGCGUAAAGGGCUCGCAGGCGGUUUCUUAAGUCUGAUGUGAAAGCCCCCGGCUCAACCGGGGAGGGUCAUUGGAAACUGGGGAACUUGAGUGCAGAAGAGGAGAGUGGAAUUCCACGUGUAGCGGUGAAAUGCGUAAAGAUGUGGAGGAACACCAGUGGCGAA